AACGAACGUUGGCGGCGUGCCUAACACAUGCAAGUCGAGCGCGGGCAGGACUUCGGUCCUGUUCCGAGCGGCGCACGGGUGAGUAACACGUGAGUAACCUGCCUCGAAGUUUGGGAUAACCGCCCGAAAGGGUGGCUAAUACCGGAUAAGCCCCCACUGGCACAGGCCAGAGAGGGAAAAGACCUUGGCGCUUCGAGAUGGGCUCGCGUCCCAUUAGCUAGUCGGUGAGGUAACGGCUCACCAAGGCGGAAGAUGGGUAGCUGGUCUGAGAGGAUGAUCAGCCACACUGGAACUGAGACACGGUCCAGACUCCUACGGGAGGCAGCAGUGGGGAAUAUUGCGCAAUGGGCGAAAAGCCUGACGCAGCAACGCCGCGUGGGUGAAGUUAAGGCUUCGGAUCGUAAAGCCCUGUCAGGAGGGACGAAACAAAUGACGGUACCUCCAAAGGAAGCACUGGCUAACUCCGUGCCAGCAGCCGCGGUAAAUGUCACAUGUG
rnacentral:rRNA from 1 species